rnacentral:rRNA from 1 species
GUAGGUGGCAAGCGUUGUCCGGAAUUAUUGGGCGUAAAGCGCGCGCAGGUGGUUCUUUAAGUCUGAUGUGAAAGCCCCCGGCUCAACCGGGGAGGGUCAUUGGAAACUGGGGAACUUGAGUGCAGGAGAGGAAAGUGGAACUCCACGUGUAGCGGUGAAAUGCGUAGAUAUGUGGAGGAACACCAGUGGCGAAGGCGACUUUCUGGCCUGCAACUGACACUGAGGCGCGAAAGCGUGGGGAGCAAACAGGGAUUAGAUACCCUGGUAGUCCACGCCGUAAACGAUGAGUGCUAAGUGUUGGGGGGGUUUCCCGCCCCUCAGUGCUGCAGCUAACGCAUUAAGCACUCCGCCUGGGGAGUACGGUCGCAAGACUG